AAAUGCUUAUUCUUAAAUUUAAUUCCCAACACUUGAGCGUUUAUUUUUUCUUUUGAUAAACCCCGAAGAAACCCUUGUCUGUCGACGACUUUCCGGUUCGCCUCUCUUACUGUUAGUACCAUUUAGAGAGAGAGAAAGACAUUAGUGUUGAGUGAGAUGAUUAAAGGAGGCAAAACAUCGGUGCUAACAUAUGCUGAAAAAUGCAAGAAUAUAUUGGCAUCUAAUUGGCAAGGUUACCUUAACACUGUGAAGGCUGAUGCUAAUGGAAGCAAAGGGGAAAUAUACACUUCAAAAGUCCGCUAUUUCGUCAAGAGAGGCAAGCCCUACAUCUGGGUACCUGAAAAUGAUAUGCACAAUGUGAACACAAUGAUAGAUGAGCGUGGUUCCUUUGCUGUGACCAGUCCCUUCCCAGGUCCACUGCCAAGUUUUCUCAAGUCUAUCAAGAAAUUACCAGCUCGGGUUGCUUUGAUGGGUGAAGUUCUGCCUCUUAAAAAUGAAAAGGCUAGGUUGCCUGGAGAGAGCCUUAAGGAAGUCAUAUCAUCUGAAAGGAGCAUGAUAGAGAAGUACUCUUACUCCGUUUUGGGUAUACUGAGUUCAUCCAGCCUUGGUGCUACAUGCCGAGGUGACAAUCUCCAGGAAUUACUUGAGUCAGACAAAAGAUAUGUUGUCUUCAAGUUCAACCCAAGUUCAUACACGUACUUUGACAGCAAUGGGGGGACUCAUGAACUAGAUCUAGAGGAAGUCCAUGCAACAAAACCUGAUCCUUUAUCAUCACAUACCAUGAGCUUGAUUGAUGGAAUUAAUCAAAGUGAGGUGAGGCGUAGGGCUCUGAUUCUCUUCUGCAUCACACACUUGAAUAAGAACGCAAAGAAGAGAGCUGAUCCCUGGUUUUAUGUGAAGGAUGCGUAUCUGCUUUCUAUAGAUCGGAAAGGAUUGGAUGUGGUGGGAAAAGUUUUAGGUCCAAUAAGGAGUGAUGGUUCUCGUGAAUAUCAGUGGAGGGAGUUGAGAAUUGCAUUCAGAGAAGAGGCACACACUGUUGAAACAUUCUGCCGUCAGCUUGUUGAAAUGGAGGAGGAAUCACUCGAGAGUAUCUCCAACUUUAGUGGUAUAUAAAUAGGGUGGAAUUAGCAUCGCACCGACAGAUUUGAAGAGCAAGCAACCUGUGAUGGACAGGAAUAAUUGCAUCAUGGGUCAUUUUUGACAGAAGGGGAGCUGUGAUAGAGGGUAGAUUAGUGAUCUUGUGAUUUGAGGUGACAGUAGGAAGCCCCUACUAGACACACAUGACUCGUUUUCAAGGCUGGAUAGCUACUUGCUAGUCAGGGCUGGCAGAAGAAAGUUUUGAAUCCCUGCAGGCAGGUUAGUGUUCUUAAUUCGCUCAUCAAUUGCUUGGCUAACAUAAGAUAGGUAUGUACAGGUAGAGUACUUGAUCCAGUUCAUAUUUCCUACUAAAUAAGGGAGGUCAAUGAUCGAUCAUGAUUCACACAUCAAUAUCUUUUUAGUCGAGUUAGUCAUACCAGGUUUAUCUAAUAUAGUUACAUCUUUUAUGUGAAUCCUUUUGAGGAGACUAAUAAAUCAACAAUAGGAAAUGAACGAUUUUAGUUUUUAGAAAAGGCUACAAAUCUUUUUACGAAAAAAAUAAAUGGUUUCACUUGAUUCAUAGAUGAUAUCUAAACGUAAUUAUUAAUAUUAUCACUCAUGGUACCUCAAAAUGAUCCCUGUAGAAAUAACUAAAAAACCAAAUUUUCAAAUAAUAAAGAAAAGCAUACCUCAUGUAUCGAAUAAAUUUCUCCAUCAACUUGUAUCGAAUAGUCAGUUACACAUUUUAACUAUAAUGACGAUCUAUUACAUACCUAUUCUUGUUCAAAGUGUAAAUAAUAUCAUUCUAAAACUGAUGUGGAAAUAAAAUUAAGAUUAAAAAUAAAUUAGGAACGUUUGAUUUGAAAUAAAGUCAGAAAAAGUGUUUUUUUUAAACCCCCACCCCCUGUUUUCUUCUUUCUCAUGUUAAAUUUUUUUCUUAGCACAUUUUUACAAAUUGUCACUCAAUCUCAUUUUGUUCUUAUCAUAUUUUUACAAUUUUCACUCAAUUUCAUCAUUCUACUUGAAAAAAGUAAAUUUUUAAUUUACAUAUCACAAUGAUUAUAGGAAUUUGAGACUUCGUUAUCCUAAUCUUUCCACUUUCUCCUUCAAAUUUUUGUACAAAGCACAAUGCUUACUGAAACACCAUGGAUCAUAAAUGGACCGAAAAACAAAACUAUCUUCCCUAAAAACGCCAUGGAUCUGAAAAAAACAUCUGCUGUACUCAAGCUGGAGGAGGAAGUUCGUUGAAACGAAGCUCAUAGAUCUUAAAGCUUGAAACACCGUAGAUCUGAAAGACGAAGCUCAUUGAAACGUCAUUAGAUCCAUGGUUGAAGCUUUGAGCUUAUUGAAACAGCUGCAAUAAAAAUUAAAAGCAAAAAAAUCGAGAAGGGAUGGUAAAGGGGAUUUAUUUGGUGUUUGUCAAUGACCGAUUUAGUGUUUUGGAUGGUGUGGUGGCUGAGGUAAUUGUUUGGUGGUUGUUUUAUGUCAGAGAUGGGUCGGAUGUUGGGGAAAUAAGGAGAUUACGUUAUGGAGGUAGGUUUGUGGUUGUGGGUUGGUUGUUCUUGGCCGGAGAAGAUAAAGAGAAUUGUGAUAUAAAUUCAAAUGAAUAUUUUUUUCUAGUUGAGAUAGUAGAUAAGAUUUAGAUUGGAAGAAGAUAUGAUUAUUAGAGAAUUUUAAAAAUUAGUUUGGUAUUAA